AACAUCCCUAAAAGUGACUAGAUCCUACUAAAAACAUACUAAAAACAAUGUCAAAAAGCGUAUAAAUUAUCCGCUCAUCACCUACCCUUCAUGUGGACACCAUCAAACAAUGGGAUUGGGCGUCUCAUGUGCUGAGCUUCUUGAGGAAGGGGAUCAAAGCCCAGAGAGAAGGAAAGAAACUUUCUAUUGAUGGCUGCAUCUUUGUUUUAAUGUUAAUAUAUUUCCAUGAAUCAAAGUUCCCUCGACUAGAAGCAGAUAACGCUCCCGGGCAACCAUGGGUGGCCUACUAGACACGGAGAAAGCUCGUCGACCGGGUUGCUUUAGAAACAACUGAUCAAAUGGGACUUGUGAACAUAGCAAAAUUGAGGGGAGAAGAGAUAGAAGAAAAGAAGGUAGAAAAGAAAACAGUUUUUCUGAAGAAGAAAAAGAAGGAAAAGGAGAAGAAAGAGAAAAAGAAAAUUGUCAUUUUGGAUUCAUCUUCGAAAGAAGACAGUUUUUUUGAAUCUGAAGAAGAAGAAGAAAUCGAGAAAACGCCACCAAAGAAAAGAAAACAACCACAGAGAGUGGCGAAAAACAAACCAAAAUAAGGAAGAUUGUUCUAACAGAUUCGGAAAGCAAAACUGAAUGUGAAGAAUAGUAAGUUUCGGAAAUGAUUAUUUUCUGUUCAUUGCUACAUUUAUUUGAGGUUUAUUUGGUUUAGUUUUGCUUGUAUUUCCUGAAAAUUGUUCAUGUGUGCUUGUUAAGUUAAUUACAACUCUAAUAUUUGUCUCCGAUAUACAUUCGAUGUGUGUUUCUUGAUUGGCUCUGUUUGACUGCUUGUUUAAAUCUGAAAUAAAUUUCUCUAAUAUUUUGUUUAACUGAUAUUUGUGUCCGGUUCAUUUAUUUUUUAACUAUGGUUCAUCCUGGUUUUAAGUGAAAACUUAUUGUAUAAAUUUUUAGAAGUGAACAAGUAGAGGAGACGACUGAUAAAAAAAAGAAAACAAAUGUUGGAGCAGAAAAAAGAAAAAAGAACAAAGAGAAACAAUGGUGGAGUUGAAAAAAUAAAUG